rnacentral:lncRNA from 1 species
CACAACUAUUACAGAUGAAUCAGCAUGUCAUUGACAGUCUACAUAUCCUUAUGUAUAUAAUGAAUUUCAUCAACUAUGAAGUCCAAUUUAUAGCACCUAACCUAAUUUCCAAUGUCCAACCAUUUGUCAAGUAUAGCUCAUUGACUAUGGAUUAGAUGAGGUGAUGAUAUUGGGUUAACCUGAUCAAGAACCAUGAUUUAAUUUUCAAAAGCAAAGAACUAUUCUUAGAUUUUUGAGUCAGAAUAUGUAAUUAAUUUUGAUUAAGUGGUUAAUAUCUGAGAUUCGAGCCAG